CUUCAGUAGCACAAAGGUCUUUUGUUUUUGGAACAAUACAAAGAAGAUUAGCUUAGCUUCUGAAUAAGGAUGACAUGCUAAUUCAUGAAGCAUACCAUUUCUUA